rnacentral:rRNA from 1 species
GACGAACCGUGCGAACGUUAUUCGGAAUCACCGGGCUUAAAGGGCGCGUAGGCGGGCCGAAAAGUCAGGGGUGAAAUCCUCCAGCCCAACUGGAGAAGCGCCUUUGGUACUGUCGGCCUCGAGGGGUGCAGGGGCAUGCGGAACUCAGGGUGGAGCGGUGAAAUGCGUAGAUAUCCUGAGGAACACCGGUGGCGAAAGCGGCGUGCUGGACACCUUCUGACGCUGAGGCGCGAAAGCCAGGGGAGCGAACGGG